rnacentral:rRNA from 1 species
GACAGAGGGUGCGAACGUUGCUCGGAAUCACUGGGCGUAAAGCGCGUGUAGGCGGGCGAUCAAGUCAGGUGUGAAAUCCCUGGGCUCAACCUAGGAACUGCAUCUGAAACUGGUUGUCUUGAGUGUCGGAGAGGGAAGCGGAAUUCCGGGUGUAGAGGUGAAAUUCGUAGAUAUCCGGAGGAACACCGGUGGCGAAGGCGGCUUCCUGGACGACUACUGACGCUGAGACGCGAAAGCGUGGGGAGCAAACAGG